rnacentral:lncRNA from 1 species
AUCCCUGACCAAUUAAUUCAAAACGUCUAGAAGUGUGACCCAAGCAACAGCUUUUUAAAGGCCCUCAUGUAAUUUCAAUGUUGAGACAAAAUUAAGAACCCCUGGAGACCUUUAUCACCUGGGCUGCAUGGCCGACUCUGCUGAAAUGGGCAUGAUACAUGAUUGGCAGAAAAAAAUGCAGUGCCACCACCACACUCCAGCCUGGCUCAGGAGCCUCCAAAGGAAAGUGACGAGGGGAACCCAUCCCAGUGGGC